UACGUAGGUGGCAAGCGUUGUCCGGAAUUAUUGGGCGUAAAGAGCUCGUAGGCGGUCCGUCACGUCGGCUGUGAAAACCCGGGGCUCAACUCCGGGCCUGCAGUCGAUACGGGCGGACUAGAGUACUGCAGGGGAGACUGGAAUUCCUGGUGUAGCGGUGAAAUGCGCAGAUAUCAGGAGGAACACCGGUGGCGAAGGCGGGUCUCUGGGCAGUAACUGACGCUGAGGAGCGAAAGCGUGGGGAGCGAACAGG
rnacentral:rRNA from 1 species